UUGGCUUCAGAGCCCUUGGGAAGUUGGACUU
rnacentral:piRNA from 1 species